rnacentral:rRNA from 1 species
UACGUAGGGUGCAAGCGUUAAUCGGAAUUACUGGGCGUAAAGCGUGCGCAGGCGGUUAUGCAAGACAGAUGUGAAAUCCCCGGGCUUAACCUGGGAACCGCAUUUGUGACUGCAUAGCUGGAGUACGGCAGAGGGGGAUGGAAUUCCGCGUGUAGCAGUGAAAUGCGUAGAUAUGCGGAGGAACACCGAGUGGGCGAAGGCAGUCCCCUGGGCCUGUACUGACGCUCAUGCACGAAAGCGUGGGGAGCAAACAGG